rnacentral:tRNA from 1 species
UAAGAGAUAGUUUAAGAUAAAAUUCUAGCUUUGGGAGUUAGAGAUGGUUGUUAACCUCUUUUAA